ensembl:lncRNA
GUUGAGUGUGUUUUAUGUCUUCUGCAGGUACGUGAGCUUGUUAACAGUCAUUUUGUCUGUAAAGCACAAGCAAGUGAAAAUGUAAUGCGCUAUUGUUAAUUUGUCCACUAGAGGGAAAUGUUUAGUCGGUGAUGCUUCUGUUAUCCUGUUAUUUUGUUUUACACGAUUGUGAAAUGUAUUUUAUUAGUCAUAAGGUUUCUUUUUGUAUACAAGUUCAGUGUGACAGACUGUAAAAUGGGAGAAAUUAUUAUUUUCCAUCUUUUCCUUAUUAAAAAGUUAAUUGUAAGUCUGUCAACACAGCGCGCGUUUGCACUGUGAGGGAGCUACAAUUGCUGGUACCAUCAGAAGACACCUGUUGAGUGUGUUUUAUGUCUUCUGCAGGAAUAAAUCGUGAAAAGCCAAUCCUUCUGAGCGUCUGUGAUUUUUGAAGAGCUGGAAGUGUUACACUGGUGCCGUGACCAUUCGGAUCUUCAGAUCAGCUUGAUGCUCAUCGCCGUGGCUGCUGUUCUGCUCCCCUGCUGUUCACAAGUUGAAUGUGUGUUGUUGUAACCAAGUGAGUUUAGACAAAAACCAUACAAACAAAAAGGUGAGGGGUGUGAUUGAAAUAAGACAAGGGUGAAAGUGUCUGUGUUUUGAUAUACAACGUGUGGUUAUACGUUCAAAUUAUUUGGACAUUAUUAUUAUAAUUUUUUCUUUCCCUCGUUUUGCUGCUAUUAUACUGUUAUUUUUCUUAUUUUUAUCUUUUUAUUUUUUUUUCUCUCUCCCUAACGGGGUGCACAUGCAGUUAUCAUCUUGAGUGUGUGACUUGACGAUGGAUAAAUUUGUCACUCCAGUACUACCUAAGGGUAGAGGUGCCGGACUAGUUCGUGCAGUUGACGCCAGUAAUGUCACACAGUUUGGUCCUGUGAGCAGUGACACUGGGCUAGGCCAAAGCCCGAGUUUUAUUCCCAUCGGUAGGGGUAUGGGUGAUAUGCCCCAGGUUUCCACUCCAAUUAGAGACAGUGAUGCUGUACACAGCAAGAAUGGUCCCCGAUCAUUGCAUCAUCCCUAGCAAUAUCAAAAUAUAAAUAAAACAAUAAAAUAAAAUAGAUAGAAUACUUAAAAUACUAAUAAGAUGUAACAGUAAAACAUUCACAUACAUUCCCAC